GAGAUCCUGUGUGCUGGAAAUCCUAAUGUGUGGGGUCAUGGGGUUAUUGAAAUACUAGCUCAGGAUACUCUGAGUCAGCUAAGGCCAAUAGUAUUGGAAUGAAUAUGCUCUGUACUUGGAGCCUACCUUAAUUCACCCCCUGUGGAAAGUGACAAAGUCUAUAGCACAGACAGAGGAUCUGUGUAUCAAAACUUUUUCCCCGAGGAGUUCAUACACAACCCACCCUUUGAGGUAACUGCAGACCCCUGGGGGCCAGCCG